rnacentral:rRNA from 1 species
AGCGGCGGAUGGGUGAGUAACACGUGGGGAACCUGCCCCUAAGUCUGGGAUACCAUUUGGAAACAGGUGCUAAUACCGGAUAAUAAAGCAGAUCGCAUGAUCAGCUUUUGAAAGGCGGCGUAAGCUGUCGCUAAGGGAUGGCCCCGCGGUGCAUUAGCUAGUUGGUAAGGUAACGGCUUACCAAGGCGACGAUGCAUAGCCGAGUUGAGAGACUGAUCGGCCACAUUGGGACUGAGACACGGCCCAAACUCCUACGGGAGGCAGCAGUAGGGAAUCUUCCACAAUGGACGCAAGUCUGAUGGAGCAACGCCGCGUGAGUGAAGAAGGUUUUCGGAUCGUAAAGCUCUGUUGUUGGUGAAGAA